CCUACGGGAGGCAGCAGUGGGGAAUAUUGCACAAUGGAGGGAACUCUGAUGCAGCGACGCCGCGUGAGUGAAGAAGGUCUUCGGAUCGUAAAACUCUGUCCUUGGUGACGAAAAAAAUGACGGUAGCCAAGGAGGAAGCCCCGGCUAACUACGUGCCAGCAGCCGCGGUAAU
rnacentral:rRNA from 1 species